UACGUAGGGUGCAAGCGUUAAUCGGAAUUACUGGGCGUAAAGCGUGCGCAGGCGGUUCGGAAAGAAAGGUGUGAAAUCCCAGGGCUUAACCUUGGAACUGCACUUUUAACUACCGGGCUAGAGUACGUCAGAGGGGGGUAGAAUUCCACGUGUAGCAGUGAAAUGCGUAGAGAUGUGGAGGAAUACCGAUGGCGAAGGCAGCCCCCUGGGAUGAUACUGACGCUCAUGCACGAAAGCGUGGGGAGCAAACAGG
rnacentral:rRNA from 1 species